rnacentral:pre_miRNA from 1 species
UUGCCAGACAGUAUGAAAAGCAGUAAAUGGCUAUCCAAAGCCUCCUGCUAUUCAUACUGCCUGGCAA